rnacentral:rRNA from 1 species
CCUACGGGGGGCAGCAGUGGGGAAUUUUGGACAAUGGGCGAAAGCCUGAUCCAGCCAUUCCGCGUGAGUGAAGAAGGCCUUCGGGUUGUAAAGCUCUUUCGGCAGGAACGAAACGGUGAGAGCUAAUAUCUCAUUACUAAUGACGGUACCUGAAGAAGAAGCACCGGCUAACUACGUGCCAGCAGCCGCGGUAAUACGUAGGGUGCGAGCGUUCAUCAGACGUACUGGGCGGAAGGCGUGCGCAGGCUGUGAAAGCCCCGGGCUUAACCUGGGAACGGCAUUUGAAACUAGGUCGCUAGAGUAUGGCAGAGGGGGGUAGAAUUCCACGUGUAGCAGUGAAAUGCGUAGAGAUGUGGAGGAAUACCGAUGGCGAAGGCAGCCCCCUGGGUCAAUACUGACGCUCAUGCACGAAAGCGUGGGGAGCAAACAGGAUUAGAUACCCUGGUAGUC